ensembl:misc_RNA
UGGCCAAUCCCAGGAACUGAAGUCUUCUGUUUCUUCACAGAGGAAAUGUGGCUCAGGCAGUGGCUGUACACGCUUCCCCAUGGCCUCCCACUGCCUCCUCCAGUAAGCCAGUAAGCGGGAGCAACUACUUCUGGAGGUGAGAGGGGAGGGAGCACCAUCUCCGUAACCUGUUUGACCCCCCUAGCUGCA